rnacentral:rRNA from 1 species
UUAGCUUGCUAAGGCCGAUGGCGACCGGCGCACGGGUGAGUAACACGUAUCCAACCUGCCGUCUACUCUUGGACAGCCUUCUGAAAGGAAGAUUAAUACAAGAUGGCAUCAUGAGUCCGCAUGUUCACAUGAUUAAAGGUAUUCCGGUAGACGAUGGGGAUGCGUUCCAUUAGAUAGUAGGCGGGGUAACGGCCCACCUAGUCUUCGAUGGAUAGGGGUUCUGAGAGGAAGGUCCCCCACAUUGGAACUGAGACACGGUCCAAACUCCUACGGGAGGCAGCAGUGAGGAAUAUUGGUCAAUGGGCGAGAGCCUGAACCAGCCAAGUAGCGUGAAGGAUGACUGCCCUAUGGGUUGUAAACUUCUUUUAUAAAGGAAUAAAGUCGGGUAUGGAUACCCGUUUGCAUGUACUUUAUGAAUAAGGAUCGGCUAACUCCGUGCCAGCAGCCGCGGUAAUACGGAGGAUCCGAGCGUUAUCCGGAUUUAUUGGGUUUAAAGGGAGCGUAGAUGGAUGUUUAAGUCAGUUGUGAAAGUUUGCGGCUCAACCGUAAAAUUGCAGUUGAUACUGGAUAUCUUGAGUGCAGUUGAGGCAGGCGGAAUUCGUGGUGUAGCGGUGAAAUGCUUAGAUAUCACGAAGAACUCCGAUUGCGAAGGCAGCCUGCUAAGCUGCAACUGA